AUUGAACGCUGGCGGCAGGCCUAACACAUGCAAGUCGAGCGAGCGGCGGACGGGUGAGUAAUGUCUGGGAAACUGCCUGAUGGAGGGGGAUAACUACUGGAAACGGUAGCUAAUACCGCAUACCAUCAGAUGUGCCCAGAUGGGAUUAGCUAGUAGGUGGGGUAACGGCUCACCUAGGCGACGAUCCCUAGCUGGUCUGAGCGGAUGAACAUCCACACUGGAAUGGAGCACCGGUCCAGACUCCUACGGGAGCCAGCAGUGGGGAAUUUGGCACAAUGGGCGCAAGCCUGAUGCAGCCAUGCCGCGUGUGUGAAGUGGUCCUUCGGUUUGUAAAGCACUUUCAGCGGGGAGGCGUUACCCGCAGAAGAAGCACCGGCUAACUCCGUGCCAGCAGCCGCGGUAAUUC
rnacentral:rRNA from 1 species